CUUUGUUUCUCAGUACUGAUCUUUCCUGGAACGCUUCCUGGGAAGAGCUGCUGGCUUCCACCCCUUCCCAGGGGACAGGAAUGCAUGGUUGGCUUUAUUUACAAAGGGCCACACCCAAUGCUCCUCACCCCCAGUCCCCAAUUCGUCCUUAGGAGGAUUAGCUGCAGGCAAGGCAGACUCUGGUGAAGACACGGUUCAUCAGCGUUAGCCUUUGGUACUUGAAGAGUGGCUAUCCCUGCUGUGUUCGCUGUAUUUAUGACGAAUCAUACAGGGACAUCCAGUUUUUCAGUAUCAAAUACUGCUCUGGAGGGCUUCCCCGACAGCAUCCCACCUUCCAGGAGGAGGUCUUGGUUUUCGUGCCCACCCGAGGUAUGUACGUGGCUGGUGGAUCACAGUGCAGGCGCAUCCUUUAAGAUGCUUGUCGCUUGUUGCCCCCGAGGCUGGAAUCUAACCUAGGCAGGAGGUGGCUGCCUAGUAGGACUGUGAUUUCUGGAAGGGAUGUUGUCAUUGAUUCUGAACCCAUCUGAAAGAUCGACCCCUGAGAAUCUUGUUCACACAGAACACCUGCCAUCUGUCCCAAGAGAACCAGCUGCUGCUGCUGCUGCUGCUGCUGCUAAGUCACGUCAGUUGUGUCCAAUUCUGUGCAACCCCAUAGACGGCAGCCCACCAGGCUCCUCUGUCCCUGGGAUUCUCUAGGCAAGAACACUGGAGUGGGUUGCCAUUUCCUUCUCCAGGGCAUGAAAGUGGAAAGUAAAAGUGAAGUCGCUCAGUCGUGUCCGACUCUUAGCGACCCCAGGGACUGCAGCCUACCAGGCUCCUCUGUCCAUGGGAUUUCCCAGGCAAGAGUACUGGAGUGGGUUGCCAUUGUUUUCUCCCAAGAUAACCAGACCUUUCAUAAAAUGAAUCCCUGGAGACCAUGCUCUAUGAUGAUGUGGGGUGAUACUGUCUGAUAACCUAACUGGUCAUCCUUAUGGUAUUUGCUCCAGGAAAGACUCUGUGAUGGUCCACUCUUGCCCGGGAAGGCGUUCUGGAAGCAGUGCCAACCUGGGGAAGACGUGUUGGCAUGGCAUCUUUCCAGUGCACGUGGAGACCCAGGGUCCACACCCACACGGAGGGUCCUGAGCUGGGACAAGCUGGCACUGCGAAGCCCCUCUCCUCUCGUUUCUGAGCCCUGCCCCCGAAGACUUGGGAAUGCCGUCACCGCUCCAGGGAAGAGGCAGGCAGGGCGUCUGCCCCGCUCCAGGGAGGACGGCAGUCGGAGGCUGCGCCCCUCGGAGAAAUGGAAGGGGACCCUGCUCUGUCUUGCCUCUGCCUUUCUGUGGUACUUGAAGAGAAGUUGUUCGUGGUGGAUUCGCUUUACUUAUGACGAAUCAUUCACGGACAACACUUUUUUCAGUACCAAAUACUACCUCUAAGGAUGCCCACCCCAGAUGGGACGGCCACUCCGGAAGAGAGGACUCCGUGCUCUUCAUGGAAGACGCGACUGGGUGGCCGGCCGGCCGGGGCCGCGGGCUCGUCCGAGCUGUAAGUCCUCUGGGCCCCUCGCCUGGGCGUCCUCCUGCAGGAGGCCUUCCAAGGGCCUCUCCCACUCCGGGGAAACAGCCGUGGUUUUGUCAUCAGUGUCACCUCCCGAGACGGCGAGGAGCGGCUUCCUGGGCCCCAGAGGAGACCCUGGUGUCAGCACCGUUCAGGGUGUGUGACUGGUUGACCAGAGGGGCAAGCACUCCGUUCACCCUCUGGGCUGCCUCGUCACCAACCCUCAGCACCAACCGCACCUGCCUGGGAGACGCGGAGGAGGUCCUGCCGACUUUGGGGACAGCGGUGGACGUGCGCCGGCGGCUGCUCCGUGGAUUCGGACAACCAUGGCAGGGAGGGCGCGUGGACUUAAAAAGGGAUGAGUUGUGGUGGUGGCAUCCACGUCACGGCCACAGCCUCCUUGAAGUGCUCCUGGGACAACGAGUUGCUUUCCAUUGAGGGAUCAGAAGCCAGUGGCCAGCUUCUGUUGGGGGUGUAUGACUGUUCCCUGAAUACAUACUUACUGAUUAGAUCUCGUACCUGAUCCUCUAACUCCUGGCCUCCCAUCUCUCCACAGAGGGUCCACGGAGGUGAUGCCCACGCGGGGAAGCAGCCAGGGUUCAACCAUCACAGGAUUCGAGGGGCUACCGUGAUGUGCUGAGGUGGCGAUGGCAGUGAGAUGGCAGCCCUCCUGGUCCAGGAGGACGAGCGGGAGUCACCGCUGCUUAGGGUAAGUGCGUCUCGGGUGAGCAUGCAAUGAAUUGCUCGCAUGUCACUCGGCCCACUACCCAAGGUUGUUCCACCCCUUCCUUACAGGCAGCCACCUUGGCAGGACAGGCAAUGGAUUUCUCACAAGUGUCCACUUAUGGUACUUGAAGAGAGGCUGGCCGUGAUGAAUUCGAUUCAUCAAAGCGAGUCAUACACGGCUCUCCUCUCUUUUAGUGUCAAAUUCUGCCUCGGAGGGCUUCCAGGCCAGUGCUGCUUCCAAGGUAGGUGCCUGGAUGGCUGAGCCCACGUGUGCUUUCCUGAGGAGGCCUGCUUUAUUGACGCUAACCCCUGCUCACCCUGAGGCAAUUUCCUGGGGUGCUGUCAACUUUAGGACAAGCAAGCGAGGCUGCAGGAAUGCCCUAAUUAAAAGUAUUAUGUGUAUAUACAUUACAAUACACAUGGCUAGCCUGGAAGGGGUGCCUAGGAGCAUCUUUCAUGAGUCAGCUGUCAGGAUAGAGGUGAGACCAGGAGACUGUGUGACCCCUGGUUUCCUAAUCCUCUGUAGCCUCACACCCUCCAGGGACCUCCUCUAGGGUGAGGCCAGGUUUACCGAGGAGGCAGUGGUUUCCCUGUUUUUGCAAACACGUGGUCUUUCAAGAGCUCUUGGCUUCACUGGUGAUGCCUCGCGUGGGGCUGGCUUCUUUGCAUUGCUGCGUGUUCCUUGCAUGGCCAUCCAAGUGCGGGAAGUGGCAUUGCUGUCCCCUGGAAUCCUGGGUUGGUGAACCAGGGGCAUGGAUUUGACUCGCGGACUGACCCAGUUGGUCCGCUCAUCCUCAUCCUCAGCAUCCUGUCCGCCCCAGUGGCCACUCCCAAGCUGCCCAGGCCGUGUGGAUGUGGGAAUGCCACCAGCAGUGCUGCCUCACGGUACUUGGAGGGAGGUUGUCCGUGGUGAGUUUGCAUUGUCUAAUGAUGCCCAAUACACGGUCGAUCUCUUUUCGGUAUCAGAUUGCACCGGGCAUCUACUCGGAGCUGAUGGGGACUGCAGGGAAGACACCCUCAUGUGGGUUCCAUGCCAGUGUACUUGAACCUGCAGUUGGCCCUGGAACUACCAGACAGGUGCCGCUAGCAUCCGUAUCAUUCAGUCAGUUCGUAGGUGACCAUAUGAUUUAGGUUUAAGACCCAAGUGAUUAGGGCAAUAGGGAUGUUCAUGAUGCUUCUGGGAAAUCUGGGUUUUCUAAAAGAAAAACAAACCAAAAACCCAGUGGAUAGUUCCCUUCUGUUUUAGUAUUAUAUCUUGUCCUGGAGAGGAGGACCUCUGAGCCAUGUGGGCAAAGUCACAGCGGGGGAACCAGUAUUAGUAUAUUUUCUGGGCUAAGAAGGGGUGAAUCAUCGUACCUGUUGGCCUGGAAGUCCUACCAAAUUUGAGGACAGAGGGCAGUGCUAGUUUCAACUUCUUGUUUUUCAUUUUAAAAUGACUAAUUAUUUUACAUUGUUACCAUACAUAUAAAAGAGGGUUGCAAAGACUUGGACAUAGAAAUGACACAUACUUAACAGUAAAAAUUCAAGCAGUGUGGGAAAAUGUUAAGUAACAAAGGGAGACAGUAUCCAAUCUCUGCAACCCAGAAGUAAGCUUCAGGGCUUUAGAAGUUUCUGAAUACUUGGCCAAGCAUAUAUCCAAAUAGAAAGGAAGACAAAGUGAGAUGCAAAUAUUUUACCAAUAUGUAAUCUUUGUUGAAAUGUUAACUGUAAUUUUACUAAAGUUCUUUGUUAAAAAUGUUAACCAUUAUUUUACUUUAACAUAAAGAAUAUGCUUAAGAAAAUUAGAAGAAUUAAUAAAUAUUUCUUGCUCUUCUGAAAGAAGUAUUAAUUCCUAAAAGAUCUCUAUAAGAUUAAGAAAAAUCACUGUGUAAAACAUGAAAUAGUUGGGAUCAUUACAUAUUUUUUAACUGUUUUAAUUUCACUUGAGGUUCUGAAAGAUAAGGAAAUCAGCUCCACCUCCUGCUUUUUUUUUAAAGCUAUACUGUACAAUAUAAUUUUCUCAUUAUAAAUAUUUGCAUUGUGUUCUAUAAUCACAGUUCUUAUAGAUGUUAAAUCAUAGUUCUAUAUUUAAAUGGAUUCAUGGCUGACAAUUAGUGCUUUUUUUCCCCCUUAAACUAAACCUUCUUUCUUCCUAAGUUUGAAUUCAUAUCUCAGAAUAAUUGCUUUUAAUUUUAAUUCAUAUCAGAAUAACUUUGUUCAAGAAUGGCUCAGUAACACUGCUCAGUGCUUGCACGUCUGGGGAUGCCUGCCUCUUGUCUAUGUACACAAGGGACACCUUAGCUCGUCUACUUUUUCUUUCCCCUCAGAACUUUGUAGUUGCUACUUCAUUGUCUUCUGCACUCAGUAUCAUAAUAGCUUUUAAACCAUGAACUCUCUACAUACCUCUGACUUAGCUAGAUACAUAUCUUGUGGACCUUCAUAUACUUUGUUAGAGAGGCUUUGGGUCACUGUCUUCUGUGAGGUCUUUCAUCUCUGAGAAUGUCUAACCCUGACUGUUACACUUUUACUCAUCUGCUUGUAUUUUUCAUACUCUUCUAUUUGGCCCUGUGAUUUUCAGUUCUUUUUGCCCUUAGACAUUUUGACAAUACUUGCUGUUCAUUUCUCUCAGGUUUAAGGGUAUAAGUGCUAUUCUUUGGUGAGUUGGUUGACUCAUAAUAAUGCUUUCCGUCCUGGGUUUUGUAACUUUUUUCUGUGAGGUUAUCAUCAGGGGGAUUAACAUUUGUGUGUUGUGUUAUUCCUUUUACAACAUGAUGGUUCUACGUUUGGCUUUGUAUGGCAUCAGGCUUUCAACAGUCAGGACUCAUCUGUUGGCUUAAGGAGUCCCACGCCUUAAUGUCUGGUAUAAAUCCUCACCACAUCUUGGUCCAGGAGCUUGGAUUCUCACAGGGGAGCACAUUCUACCCAGAGCUUGCAUGGAAAUACCCUCUGUUGUCAUCUCUCUAGGCCAGGACAGCGUUUUCUGACUCUCCUUCCCAUCCCAGGCCUCCGCCUCUUUCCAUCCCUAUGUCACGUGUCCUGUCCCUGCUUGGACAUUAAGACUAAAGACCCCUAAGCCUCUCAGCGUCCUUCAGAUCCCUUGGCCCAGAUUUCUUUCAUCAUUGGCGGCUGGCUUCCCUCUUAUUCUUUACAGCUGUGCAUGUAUCACUUGGUUUUGGCCUCGAUUUCAUUUUAUCCCUCGUUUCUUUCUGCAUGUGGAGGAGAGGGUUCUCUAUUAGCUCUUUUGCAGGGUCUGACUCAGUCACUAUCUUUCUUCAUCAGUUUUUCUGAACCAUAUCCCUUCUUAAUGAGUCAAGUUAGCUACUUUUUCAUUUCAAGGAUGUCUUCUUCUGGUAUAAGCACUUUUCUGUUCUAUGUGUUGGUCUUAUCUUAGGGUAAAUGGUCAUUUAUUAUUUCAUUGGCAGCUGGAGAAGGGAAAAACCUAUGAUCUGGCCCCAUGCUGCCACUUUUAUUUGGAAGACUCAUUAUUGUCAUUUGCGCUCUGCAUUUGUCUGUUUAACAUGAAUUACACCCAGAUUCCUCCUUCUCAGUAUCCUCUUCCACCUUGGCAGGAUGCCUCAUUAUAGUGCCACCUUCUGGGAUGUACAUGGAGUCAGUACCGUUUGCUAGGUAUGUGAAUUUAUUUUAACAAUGGAGGAUUUUUUUUUUCAUCAUAUUUCUGCUGGUCUAGUAACCCUAAAUAUGCAUUUUAUCCUUAGGGAGACUUCUUGGAUGUAACCCACCUUUAGAGAUAAGGUCACAACUCUGAGGUCAGUGCAGUAUAUCUUGGGAUAUAAGAAAGUUUGUGUCCGAUGCUGUCCGUUUCUUUAUGAGCAGUAUUGUAAACUCAACUUCUUUGGAAUGAACUCCAGCUUUGGAGGGCUUCCUGGACACGAGGUGUAAGUGAGAAAAGGACCACUGCUGUCAGCUUGGAUGCAAAUAUGAAAUGAGGCUGUGUUCCCUGCUAUGAUAGAUAACGAAUUCUUAUCCCUUGACCUCUCCACCAUGCAAUACCCUUGAAAGUGCUUCUUAGAUAUCCUGUCAAACAGGCAAAGGUGUUGAUGUCUGGGCUACUUCAGGGUCUAGGAUGGGACAGUUGAAUGAACUCGGGGGUAUGUUUCACUCAUGACCCUUUCUUCCAGUUUGUUAACACUCAGUAUUCCCUCUGUCCUUAGGACUUUCCGGAGGAGGCCAGCUUUGAAGAUGAGGCCCUGGCACCUGUACCAAAUCCCGCCUUGGAGGGCUUCAGGGCGCAGGACCUUCGAGUCAGCUCCUCUCCAGGGUAAGUGCAGGGAGUGUUGAUCGCAGCUGGAUGGCAGCGCCUGCGGUCUCCUGAUGCUGUGCGUCCUGGUCCUCAUCCUGUGUGUGUGUGUGUGAGACUGUCCACAGGAAGAUGCCCGGAAGUGGCGCCAACAUGAAGCAAGAAGUGGGGCUUUGCUUACCAGAGAUACUUGGUGGUACUUGAAGAGAGGU
ensembl:lncRNA